rnacentral:rRNA from 1 species
UACGAAGGGGGCUAGCGUUGUUCGGAAUCACUGGGCGUAAAGGGCGCGUAGGCGGCUUUAUACGUCGGGGGUGAAAGCCUGUGGCUCAACCACAGAAUUGCCUUCGAUACUGUAGAGCUUGAGACCGGAAGAGGUAAGUGGAACUGCGAGUGUAGAGGUGAAAUUCGUAGAUAUUCGCAAGAACACCAGUGGCGAAGGCGGCUUACUGGUCCGGUUCUGACGCUGAGGCGCGAAAGCGUGGGGAGCAAACAGG